rnacentral:rRNA from 1 species
UACAGAGGUGGCAAGCGUUGUUCGGAAUUACUGGGCGUAAAGGGCGCGUAGGCGGCUUGGUCAGUCCCGUGUGAAAUCCCUCGGCUCAACUGAGGAACUGCACGGGAAACUGCCUGGCUUAGUUCGGGAGAGGGAAGCGGAAUUCGGGUGUAGCGGUGAAAUGGCGUAGAUAUCCGGAGGAACACCGGUGGCGAAGGCGGCUCCUGGACCGACACUGACGCUGAGGCGCGAAAACGUGGGGGAGCGAAACAGGAUU